CAAUAUCAAAUUUUAGCACAAACCCUAUAAAAUGUAUCUUGUCAGAAUGUGUCAGAACUGCUAAGCUCUUUGCAGCUGAACAUCUUGCAGCUGGUGUUUCAUUCUUCAGGUUGAGAACCAACUUUGUGUGUCCUCCGGGGUUAGGCAGUGACUUGAUCCCGGGUUUCACCCUGCGGCAGGGCUGGCUGGGGAAGGCAUGGGUUCAGAUUAGCCGUGUCCUACGCCGCUGGACGGGGUGACACGAGUCUGCAGGGCUGAGCCCAGGGACUGGAGAUAGGAACAGUCAAUAGGAAUGCCCGGAAUGUCUGCGUUACUUCGGAUUCUGUGGAGGCACACAGACCAUGGGGAUUCUGUCCGCGGUGACAGCCUUAACAUUUGCCAGAGCCCUGGACGCCGCUGUAGAAAUGGCAUUGCCCACCCUGAAAGUGAGAAGAUCGUGUAAGGAGGCAAAAUGAUGGGUUUUGAAGAUGUUUCUUCAAGGAGAAAGAAAUUGCUAAAUUGAAAUGAGCUCCUAAAAUCAGCCCAGUAUUCUCUAGCUCGGUAAAAAAGGUAUUUGUAAAGAUGAAACAGACAAAGAAUUAUUCUCAAUUUCUCUACAAGCAUCCUUGCCCACCCCCAAUCACGUUUUAACUCGGUGUUCGGAUGACACAAGGUUACCCCAGCAUAGACAGGAGGGACACCCAGUAGCAGCGGACCCAGUGACAAAACAGUGACAAGACCACCUGCAGUGACAUGUGAGCAAAAAUAACAGAAAGUGGUUCUAUUGUGAAAGGAACGCCUGCAAAGCCGAUCCCUCAGAAUGUAAGCGCCCAGCAGAGGCUGACCCGCAUGGCACAAACACAUCUACUCCAGGUCUGUUCUCGAACAUGUGUCUGGGAUACCUGAGGUUAGAAUAAAAAAAGAAUCUGCUUGGCAAGAUCCUUUGGAAAGCACCAGGUUGCUGAAACAGCAGUGAGGAAGCCUGAGAAAGAUCUACACAGCUACCGAAAGGCCAAAGAACAAACUGACAGAAGAAAUUAGUUUGAUGAGCUGUCGGAGGACAGCCGCAGUUUCAGUGAUGGCGAAGUCGCCCCAUUUGGGCAGGUCUCGGGCCAUUGGGCUAAGAGGUUCCUUGGCCCUCCUAUGUGAAAAUCACAGGAGACAAACCACUUUGGGCCAGUACUUUUAUUUUAUUUUAUUUUUUUAUAUCUCUUUGGCUCCUGGACAGUUAAGAACAACAACAACAAAAAAUGAUGAAGUUUUCAAAUCCAGGGUAAUCACUGUGUCAGCUUGGAGCCGAGAUGUUGCCCAAAUGCACACCUGGACGAUGUAAAUCACACCAGCGGUAAACACUUCAGGCCGGGCCACAGGCUGCAGGCGGGGAGGGGUGGCAUCCUCCCCAGCCAGGUCCAUAAACCCGGGCUGGCCUGUACUCAUAAAUGCUCCUUUCACCGGGAAAGACCCCCUCCCUGUCUGAGGUCGCUCAGAUAAUGGACAGAGGUACUCCCACCCGCGCCACUGGCCGACCGGCUCUGGGCUGGUAUCAGGGAGUGAAGUUGACAGAGGUUUAUAUCGUUAUAAAUGGCUUUACGAUACCUAGAGAGGGGCACCAGAGCUACGGGUUUCAAGGUGGCUAUUCUUGAAGGCAGCAUGCAAAAAUAAAACCUAAAAAAAAUAAAUAGGUUUACUGU